rnacentral:pre_miRNA from 1 species
CUUAUACUCACUCCGUCCGGAAAUACUUGUCCGAGGAAUGGAUGUAUCUAGAUGUAUUUUAGUUAUAGAUACAUCCAUUUGUAUCCAUUUCUACGACAAGUAUUUUCGGACGGAGAGAGUAUAUG